rnacentral:sRNA from 1 species
AAGUUAAAUACAAUAUACAACAUAUAAAUUAUAACAAUACUGCAGCCAUAAUACUGACAUGUUGCCCAUAAACCCAAAAAGUGUAACACCCAAACUGUACAAUAUGUAACUCAUACAUUAGUAUAUCACAUAUAACAUGUAACCUGCUCUUGCCCCCAUAUAGAACACAUGUAAUACAUGACACAGAUUAUGUACAUGCACUGGAGACAACACGCAACUACCCAUGCAUAUACAAAAUCCACACACAUAAAAUCUCAAAUCAUAAACACAGGGGGUUCCUGUCACAGUCACAGUCACAGCUGUCAUUUAAAAUCACUCCAACAUGCCCCUUUAACCUGGCUCCUGCCUUCAGGGAGGUGAAGUGUCAUUACUGUCAUUUUGGGGUGAGGGAAAUCACAGCUUGUCAGUGGCAGAGCUGGCCUGGAACUCAGCUUUCAUCCUUGCCCCUUCCUGCACCUUGAGCCCAUUCUCCAUGCUCUCUAUUUGUACCACACUUCUGUCUCACUCCCACCCUGCUUUGAAUUAGUCUCCAUCACUACACACAGGUCACACACACAGCCCCAGGCCCUACACGACUCUGUGCUGGUCCCAUCCUCCAGGGAGCACAUUAGCUUGGCAAAGAUGCACAGUGACAGGGACUCGUGCCUGCAGAAGUGUCAGCUGGAAAACAAGAGAAGGAGGCACAGGGAGCUUGAGGGGCAGGUGUUACUAGGAGCAGCCCCUCAGACAGUGUUGGUGCCUGAGAGUGGCCCAAUACAUCUAGAAACAGCCUGUGGGAGCUGGUGCUAGGCCCUCAGAGGCCCAUGGGACAGUGUCCUCCCAUAUGGAGUAGCCAGGAAAGUCUAGGUCACUUAUUUAUCAUCUUAAAAUCUAACCCUAAAUCUAAGAAAAAAAACAGGAAACAGGUUUUGUAUAUACAUGAGCAGUUGUAUGUUGUCUCUACUGCAUAUAUAUAAUCUGUGUUGUAUAUCAUAUAUGUCCCAUCUCUGCCAUUGGCUUAGGAUAGAGAACAAACUCACCCAGCUCAUAGGACCCUUUGUGAUCUGGCCCCUGCCAGUCUCUGAAGCUCAUCUCUUGCUAUGUCCCCAAUACUUUCUAUCCUGAAUUAUCUUUUUUUUUUCCUUUGAGACAGAGUCUCUGUCACUCAGGCUGGAGUGCAGUGGCACAAUCAUGGCCCACUGCAGCCUUGACCUCCUGGGCUCAAAUGAUUCUCCCACUUCAGCCUCCUGAGUAGCUGGGACUACAGGCAUGUGCCACCAUGCCCAGCUAAUUUUUUUUUUUUUUUUAGAGAUGGGAUUUUGCCAUAUUACCCAGGCUAGUCUCAAACUCCUGGCCUCAAGCGAUGUGCCAGCCUCAGCCUCCUAAAGUGCUGGGAUUACAGGUGUGAGCCACUGUGCCUGGCCCCUAGUUAUCUUUCUAAGACACUUACUUGCUCAGGUAGUUCCUUCUUGAACCACAGCAGUAGGGCACAAGCAGAGAAGGUGGUAGUUGCUGGAAAGAAAUACAUAGUAGGUGGAAGGGACAACCUGAGCAAAGACCCUGAGGCAGGAAGCCCAUCCAUGGCUAGGUAAUGGUAUCUGGUAGCUGGAAUCAAGCUAUGUUGGAGGGGCGAGUAAUGAGGCUGGACAGGGAACUUGGGGUCACACUGUGGAAGGCUUUCAGUGCAGGCCUAAGGAGAAAAUGGGGAGCCAUAAAAGAUUUUGGAGAAGUUUGUAUCUAAUAAAAAGAAUAAGAAUCCUCCUGCUGUGCGUGGUGCUCUGCAUCUUCUGCUUUCUGUACUCAUUAUUUCAUCUGCUCCUGCAACCUGUAAAGUAGGAAUUGUCACUAGUAUUUUAAGGAAAAUGGAUGUGUCAGCCAGCAAGCCAGUGGCAGAGUCUUGGUCUCCAGGCUCCCUGCCUCUUGCACUGACUCUUUCUCUUUCAACCUCCCUGCAUGGCAGCUGGCAAGAGCCCAUCCCUAAUCUUCACCAACCGGCACGAGGUGCGGAGGAUCGACCUGGUGAAGCGGAACUAUUCACGCCUCAUCCCCAUGCUCAAGAAUGUCGUGGCACUAGAUGUGGAAGUUGCCACCAAUCGCAUCUACUGGUGUGAUCUCUCCUACCGUAAGAUCUAUAGCGCCUACAUGGACAAGGCCAGUGACCCGAAAGAGCAGAAGGUCCUCAUUGACGAGCAGCUGCACUCUCCAGAGGGCCUGGCAGUGGACUGGGUCCACAAGCACAUCUACUGGACUGACUCGGGCAAUAAGACCAUCUCAGUGGCCACAGUUGAUGGUGGCCGCCGACGCACUCUCUUCAGCCGUAACCUCAGUGAACCCCGGGCCAUCGCUGUUGACCCCCUGCGAGGGUUCAUGUAUUGGUCUGACUGGGGGGACCAGGCCAAGAUUGAGAAAUCUGGGCUCAACGGUGUGGACCGGCAAACACUGGUGUCAGACAAUAUUGAAUGGCCCAACGGAAUCACCCUGGAUCUGCUGAGCCAGCGCUUGUACUGGGUAGACUCCAAGCUACACCAGCUGUCCAGCAUUGACUUCAGUGGAGGCAACAGAAAGAUGCUGAUCUCCUCCACUGACUUCCUGAGCCACCCUUUUGGGAUAGCUGUGUUUGAGGACAAGGUGUUCUGGACAGACCUGGAGAACGAGGCCAUUUUCAGUGCAAAUCGGCUCAAUGGCCUGGAAAUCUCCAUCCUGGCUGAGAACCUCAACAACCCACAUGACAUUGUCAUCUUCCAUGAGCUGAAGCAGCCAAGAGCUCCAGAUGCCUGUGAGCUGAGUGUCCAGCCUAAUGGAGGCUGUGAGUACCUGUGCCUUCCUGCUCCUCAGACCUCCAGCCACUCUCCCAAGUACACGUGUGCCUGUCCUGACACAAUGUGGCUGGGUCCAGACAUGAAGAGGUGCUACCGAGCACCUCAAUCUACCUCAACUACGACGUUAGCCUCUACCAUGACGAGGACAGUACCUGCCACCACAAGAUCCCCUGGGACCACCGUCCACAGAUCCACUUACCAGAACCACAGCACAGAGACACCAAGCCUGGCAGCUGCAGUCCCAAGCUCAGUUAGUGUCCCCAGGGCUCCCAGCAUCAGCCCGUCUACCCUAAGCCCUGCAACCAGCAACCACUCCCAGCACUAUGGGAAUGAAGACAGUAAGAUGGGCUCAACAGUCACUGCCGCUGUUAUUGGGAUCAUCGUGCCCAUAGUGGUGAUAGCCCUGCUGUGCAUGAGUGGAUACCUGAUCUGGAGAAACUGGAAGCGGAAGAACACCAAAAGCAUGAAUUUUGACAACCCAGUCUACAGG